rnacentral:lncRNA from 1 species
GCUGCGCACUUCGGUCUUUUACGUCGGCCUUCGCGAGCGUCUGGGCGGGUGGUAGGUGAGUGGGUAUUGCGGGCUAGUAUCCGAGCAAAAGAUGGUGGCGCAGGCCGAGUUAAGAGCUUUAAUCCUGUGAAGACAUCUUAGUGAAGAGUUUAGAGUGCUGAGAGUUGAAAGCUUGCACGUGGGAAACGUGCGGCCGGACUGCCACAUGUACUGAGGUUGAGUCGUGACGGCCACAGGCUCCGAGUUUUGGCGUGAGGAACCGCUGAUCGGCCACGGGCGCCGAACUUGCUGGCCUCCGGCAUGUGCCUGAGCGGCGGCGGAAAAACCACCUUAAUUGGGGCGGAGGGUUAGUUUUAACAGCAAAGGGCCUUUACUAAAAUGGCGAAGGCCUUCCGUCGGCGUUGUUUUAAAAUGGGAAGCCUCGACCCUGUAUUGAAACUGAGCUGUUCGAAGGCGGCGUUGUGUGCAAUUCGGAUUAAUGAAGGGGAAGGGUUUUGUGUGGAAAAACGCCUUGGAGUGUGACAUUUCUGCGAGAAUGCUUAAAUACCGAUUUCCCGCAGGAACAAUGGCGCUGUCUUCAGUGGCACAGUGGAGCAGCUCUGAAGAUGCAAAGUGAGGGUCGCUGUCUGCCCAUUGAUAGAGGCCAGAUUGUCUUGGAAGUUCCAAAGUUGCAACGAUUUCUGUAAUGCCACGAGGUUUACUUGACUGUUGUGUGAAAAGCUGAUAAGAAAACCAUCCAGAAAAAAGCUCUUCGUUUUACAAACAUGAAAAUAAAACAUGUAAUUUUGGA